rnacentral:rRNA from 1 species
AAACCAAACAGGGAUUGCCUUAGUACGGCGAGUGAAGCGGCAAAAGCUCAAAUUUGAAAUCUGGCACCUUCGGUGUCCGAGUUGUAAUUUGAAGAUUGUAACCUUGGGGUUGGCUCUUGUCUAUGUUUCUUGGAACAGGACGUCACAGAGGGUGAGAAUCCCGUGCGAUGAGAUGCCCAAUCCUAUGUAAGGUGCUUUCGAAGAGUCGAGUUGUUUGGGAAUGCAGCUCUAAGUGGGUGGUAAAUUCCAUCUAAAGCUAAAUAUUGGCGAGAGACCGAUAGCGAACAAGUACAGUGAUGGAAAGAUGAAAAGAACUUUGAAAAGAGAGUGAAAAAGUACGUGAAAUUGUUGAAAGGGAAGGGUUUGAGAUCAGACUCGAUAUUUUGUGAGCCUUGCCUUCGUGGCGGGGUGACCCGCAGCUUAUCGGGCCAGCAUCGGUUUGGGCGGUAGGAUAAUGGCGUAGGAAUGUGACUUUGCUUCGGUGAAGUGUUAUAGCCUGCGUUGCAUGCUGCCUGCCUANACCGAGGACUGCGAAUUUUAUCAAGGAUGCUGGCAUAAUGAUC